CAAAUACUUCUUCCAGAUAAAUAAAGGUUCCAUACUCAGUGUUGUUCAUCGUAGUUCACCAGUCUCAAUUCAAAUACUUCUUCCAGAUAAAUAAAGGUUCCAUACUCAGUGUUGUUUAUCGUAGUUCACUAGUCUCAAUUCAAAUACUUCUUCCAGAUAAAUAAAGGUUCCAUACUCAGUGUUGUUUAUCGUAGUUCACCAGUCUCAAUUCAAAUACUUCUUCCAGAUAAAUAAAGGUUCCAUACUCAGUGUUGUUCAUCGUAGUUCACCAGUCUCAAUUCAAAUACUUCUUCCAGAUAAAUAAAGGUUCCAUACUCAGUGUUGUUUAUCGUAGUUCACUAGUCUCAAUUCAAAUACUUCUUCCAGAUAAAUAAAGGUUCCAUACUCAGUGUUGUUUAUCGUAGUUCACCAGUCUCAAUUCAAAUACUUCUUCCAGAUAAAUAAAGGUUCCAUACUCAGUGUUGUUUAUCGUAGUUCACCAGUCUCAAUUCAAAUACUUCUUCCAGAUAAAUAAAGGUUCCAUACUCAGUGUUGUUUAUCGUAGUUCACUAGUCUCAAUUCAAAUACUUCUUCCAGAUAAAUAAAGGUUCCAUACUCAGUGUUGUUUAUCGUAGUUCACCAGUCUCAAUUCAAAUACUUCUUCCAGAUAAAUAAAGGUUCCAUACUCAGUGUUGUUCAUCGUAGUUCACUAGUCUCAAUUCAAAUACUUCUUCCAGAUAAAUAAAGGUUCCAUACUCAGUGUUGUUCAUCGUAGUUCACCAGUCUCAAUUCAAAUACUUCUUCCAGAUAAAUAAAGGUUCCAUACUCAGUGUUGUUCAUCGUAGUUCACUAGUCUCAAUUCAAAUACUUCUUCCAGAUAAAUAAAGGUUCCAUACUCAGUGUUGUUCAUCGUAGUUCACUAGUCUCAAUUCAAAUACUUCUUCCAGAUAAAUAAAGGUUCCAUACUCAGUGUUGUUCAUCGUAGUUCACCAGUCUCAAUUCAAAUACUUCUUCCAGAUAAAUAAAGGUUCCAUACUCAGUGUUGUUUAUCGUAGUUCACUAGUCUCAAUUCAAAUACUUCUUCCAGAUAAAUAAAGGUUCCAUACUCAGUGUUGUUCAUCGUAGUUCACCAGUCUCAAUUCAAAUACUUCUUCCAGAUAAAUAAAGGUUCCAUACUCAGUGUUGUUCAUCGUAGUUCACUAGUCUCAAUUCAAAUACUUCUUCCAGAUAAAUAAAGGUUCCAUACUCAGUGUUGUUCAUCGUAGUUCACUAGUCUCAAUUCAAAUACUUCUUCCAGAUAAAUAAAGGUUCCAUACUCAGUGUUGUUCAUCGUAGUUCACUAGUCUCAAUUCAAAUACUUCUUCCAGAUAAAUAAAGGUUCCAUACUCAGUGUUGUUCAUCGUAGUUCACUAGUCUCAAUUCAAAUACUUCUUCCAGAUAAAUAAAGGUUCCAUACUCAGUGUUGUUCAUCGUAGUUCACUAGUCUCAAUUCAAAUACUUCUUCCAGAUAAAUAAAGGUUCCAUACUCAGUGUUGUUCAUCGUAGUUCACUAGUCUCAAUUCAAAUACUUCUUCCAGAUAAAUAAAGGUUCCAUACUCAGUGUUGUUCAUCGUAGUUCACCAGUCUCAAUUCAAAUACUUCUUCCAGAUAAAUAAAGGUUCCAUACUCAGUGUUGUUCAUCGUAGUUCACUAGUCUCAAUUCAAAUACUUCUUCCAGAUAAAUAAAGGUUCCAUACUCAGUGUUGUUCAUCGUAGUUCACCAGUCUCAAUUCAAAUACUUCUUCCAGAUAAAUAAAGGUUCCAUACUCAGUGUUGUUUAUCGUAGUUCACCAGUCUCAAUUCAAAUACUUCUUCCAGAUAAAUAAAGGUUCCAUACUCAGUGUUGUUCAUCGUAGUUCACCAGUCUCAAUUCAAAUACUUCUUCCAGAUAAAUAAAGGUUC